rnacentral:rRNA from 1 species
UGGGGAAUAUUGCACAAUGGGCGAAAGCCUGAUGCAGCGACGCCGCGUGAGUGAAGAAGUAUUUCGGUAUGUAAAGCUCUAUCAGCAGGGAAGAAAAUGACGGUACCUGACUAAGAAGCCCCAGCUAACUACGUGCCAGCAGCCGCGGUAAUACGUAGGGGGCAAGCGUUAUCCGGAUUUACUGGGUGUAAAGGGAGCGUAGACGGCGAAGCAAGUCUGAAGUGAAAACCCAGGGCUCAACCCUGGGACUGCUUUGGAAACUGUUUUGCUAGAGUGUCGGAGAGGUAAGUGGAAUUCCUAGUGUAGCGGUAAAAUGCGUCUAUAUUAGGAGGAACACCAGUGGCGAAGGCGGCUUACUGGACGAUAACUGACGUUGAGGCUCGAAAGCGUGGGGAGCAAACAGG